CAAGCAGACGAGGAUAGGCUUGGUCCUCUUGCAAUGCCACCGAGCUCGAUGGCUGUCCCCUUGAUUUGGUGCUGUGCCACUGAGAGCAGAGUCAGGCGGGCGUCAUCAUGAUGCAAACCUGGUGCUAUUAAUUUGGCAUAGAGUGCCUGCGAGUGUCUUCUUUUCUUGAUCACCAAGCAAUUAGUUUAUGCACAGGAAGCCCAAGGUUUAUGUACUGUCUGCUGUGACUUCUCAUUUCACAGGGGGGCUCUAAAGUAUUCUAUCUCGUUCCUCAACUCUUCCUCUAUGUCUGCAUCUUGGAGGGCAAGGUGUGCAUGUGUUGGUGCUUGAGUGUCAAUCCAUGAGCAAAAGUAACGGAGCAAGGGCCAACCGGAAAGUGCAUUGCAGGAGAGGAUUGAACUGAGUGUAGGAGAAGUGCGGGGUAAGCCCUGAGAAAACCAGACACGCAUUUGAUCUCUGUCUCCAUCUGACAGCACUUCUGUAAAUCUAUUGAGAUAUUCAGGGCAGGGUUGUGUGGAGGGAUGAGAUCAGACUCUCUGAGCGCAUCCAGCACGUCCCAGGAGGCAGCCCACGUCAGACUGUGCCCUGAUCAUCUUUGAUCGAGCUUUGAGCUCUAAAUCCUGCUUCCCUUACAUCGGCGCAAGUAUCUUGAACUUGGCAAGAUGUGGUCUUUUUAAUUUAGGAAGGCUGUUUUAAAAGUGCCCGAAAUGCUAGAAAAGAGCUCCUUAAGAAGACCAAAUUCUGGUCCCCAUUUCACUGUAUGAACCCUGUAUGAAUUUUUUAAUGGAACAGCCUGUUUUUUUUUUUUUUUUUUUUUUGCCAUCAGCAAGACCAGACGUUGGCCUGGCCCCACCUGCCCUGAUUAACUCCCAAAGCCCUUUAUUUGUUGACGCCAGUGACGUUAGGGCAGCAAUGUUUCCAUUCUCCAGACCUUGUGGUGCCUUUUCUUGUGGUGCUUACCCUUUGCAGGACUCCAGUCAAGGCAACCACUCGCAUCAAACAGCAACGCCAGUACUUCUCCUCUAGAUUAUGUGCCACUGCA
rnacentral:lncRNA from 1 species